rnacentral:rRNA from 1 species
AGGGUUUGAUUAUGGCUCAGGAUGAACGCUGGCGGCGUGCUUAACACAUGCAAGUCGAACGAAGCACUUAAGACAGAUUCUUUCGGGAUGAAGACUUUUGUGACUGAGUGGCGGACGGGUGAGUAACGCGUGGGUAACCUGCCUUAUACAGGGGGAUAGCAGUUGGAAACGACUGGUAAUACCGCAUAAGCGCACAGUACCGCAUGGUACAGUGUGAAAAACUCCGGUGGUAUAAGAUGGACCCGCGUCUGAUUAGCUAGUUGGCAGGGUAACGGCCUACCAAGGCGACGAUCAGUAGCCGACCUGAGAGGGUGACCGGCCACAUUGGGACUGAGACACGGCCCAG